UUCAUCUGAUGGAAGCACAGGCAGUUAAAAUAUUUUCAGUUUUUUCCUGGAAUUCCCACACCCAUACGGUUAUUUUUGUACCUUAGGGGUCUCAGGGAACGCUCGGAGCAUGGUUGUGUGAACAACAGGAGGCAACUCAUGGUGACCUAGUACAUAAGAAAUGGAGGUGAAUACACUGGCAAAAUCUAACUUGAAUUUACAAAAACUAUUGGAUGAGAAGCUUAAAAGGGAUAUAAAACAUUUUGAGAUUUUAAUAUAAAAGGUUUAACAAAUUGAAGUAAAAUAAAUAAAACGCAAUAAACGUAUUAUUUAUUUUG